UCUCAACCCUAAGCAGAUGGACCAAACCCUGAAAGGAACAAGUGCAGAACAGGAUAAUCGGUUCAGCAACAAACAGAAGAAACUACUGAAGCAGCUGAAAUUUGCAGAAUGCCUAGAAAAAAAGGUGGACAUGAGCAAAGUAAAUUUGGAGGUUAUAAAGCCUUGGAUAACAAAAAGAGUAACGGAAAUCCUUGGGUUUGAAGAUGAUGUUGUGAUUGAGUUUAUAUUCAACCAGCUGGAAGUGAAGAAUCCAGACUCCAAAAUGAUGCAAAUCAACCUGACUGGAUUUUUGAAUGGAAAAAAUGCUCGAGAAUUUAUGGGAGAACUGUGGCCCCUGCUGCUAAGUGCACAAGAAAACAUCGCGGGAAUCCCUUCUGCUUUCCUAGAACUGAAGAAAGAAGAAAUAAAACAAAGACAGAUUGAACAAGAAAAAUUGGCAUCUAUGAAAAAGCAAGAUGAAGACAAAGAUAAAAGAGAUAA
rnacentral:sRNA from 1 species